UGGGGAAUAUUGCACAAUGGGCGAAAGCCUGAUGCAGCGACGCCGCGUGAGGGAUGACGGCCUUCGGGUUGUAAACCUCUUUCAGCAGGGACGAAGCGCAAGUGACGGUACCUGCAGAAGAAGCACCGGCUAACUACGUGCCAGCAGCCGCGGUAAUACGUAGGGUGCAAGCGUUGUCCGGAAUUACUGGGCGUAAAGAGUUCGUAGGCGGUUUGUCGCGUCGUUUGUGAUAACCAGCAGCUCAACUGCUGGCUUGCAGGCGAUACGGGCAGACUUGAGUACUGCAGGGGAGACUGGAAUUCCUGGUGUAGCGGUGAAAUGCGCAGAUAUCAGGAGGAACACCGGUGGCGAAGGCGGGUCUCUGGGCAGUAACUGACGCUGAGGAACGAAAGCGUGGGUAGCGAACAGG
rnacentral:rRNA from 1 species